UACAAUACGUACAUCUACUAAAAAACUUGGACGUGACCUACCACUUUGUGGCAGAGUUGCUUUAAUUUCUAGCUGCCUCUAUUACGUUACAAGCAACUAGUGGGACCACAGUGGAAUGAACGACCUAUUCUUUCACAAGUAUAGGAGUAGCAGUCUGCAUACCUAGGGGCUUGAUUUUAUACAUUUGUGGCCAUGGAAGUGACUGGAAAACUUGAAACCGAUCAUUUGGAUGGGUACAUGAAUACUUUUGUAAAAACUGUGUAUCAGAUUGGAAUAAAAAUGGAAACUCUGCAUCCAUAGAGUAACAAACCAAUGCCAAGCACUGGGGAUUUACUUCUUGUUGCAGUAUGGGCUCAGAAAGAUAAAAUGCUCUCCCGAAUAAACCUCUUACUAGCCCCAAUAUCUUGCCGAAUUUUAGAAUGUCUAUUUUCCAUCCAAGGAUACAAAAUCAUAUGAGACAAAAGGUGCAUGAAUCUCAUUAGUACAAGUAGGUGGCUAUAUACUGUUGACAGUAGUUCAGUUGACUUCACAUACACUCGGAACCUACAGAUAUGCAGGGUAGCAUAAUAAAUGGACAGUCAGCAGUGACAGAUUUUAGUAGGAUCAAACUUUCCAGUCAUGUCCCCAGAACACCUUGCAGCACUGAGUGGACUCACACUACCCCUAGAGAUCUCUUACAUGUACACCUAAAAUUCUCCUUUUGCUUCCAUUCUGGGUGCUGGAUCCUCAUUAUUUGUCAAAAAAAUAUUGAUCAUAAUAGCAUCUUCAGAAGCUGUGUUCACCAUAAUUUCUUUAAUAUAAGUAAACAGGUGAGCAGACAGAGUGCCCAAGCAAAAUACACCAUGGACAAGACAUGAAAAAAACAAACAGGCUUGAAAAAAAAGACAAAAAAACAGUAAUUACUCCAUAUAAAAUAAUAGCUGUUAUUACCGCUCGUCAAACACAACAAUGCAUCCCCAGACAGAAAAAGAUGCAGAAUCAUUGCCAAAGCUGUAUAAUGAAUACACUGAAAAAAAUGUUUUUUUGGCCCUGUAGUUAUUAUUUCAAUUAUCUAUAUAAAUUUUACAAAAAAAUAAAAAUUCAGUGCUAUUACUUUAAAAUAGCAGUUUUUCUUGUAGUGCAUUACUUGAAGAUUGUUUGUAAUUAUGUGUCCUCAGUUUUGUAUGUAAAUUGAAUCAUUCGAUCCAAGUAAUAUUCACUAAACCAAUUCAUUGGCUUAAUUAGUUCAUAUUUCCAAGUAAAAUGUAAUGGAGUGACAUCAGUGAAUAUGGCCACCUUCUCUGCAUUCGGAGCAUGACGUCAAAGCCCCUCCCCACAUUUGAGCGGUCUUUCUUCAGACAUACCAUGGUCCACAUUUCGACGGUUGGCAGACUUGACGGAAACGGGAAGAAGUGGAACCAUGAAUAACAUAGGACCUUCUGACUGCUAAUUUGAACUCCACAAGCAUCAUGUCGAUGGCAGAAGGGACAUUAUCAUUCGUUGCUUAGUUGAGUAUCUUGGAGAGAGUGGAGAGGAGCUGAUCAAAGACCAUCAGGACGUCAGCCAAGAAGCAUUGAAAGAGGACUGCAGUAAUCACAUGAUGAAGAUCAUCAUAAUCCAUCCCAAUGUGGCACAGGAAAACCAAGAUCCUGUGAACGUGUCGGUCAUCAUUGAGGGGACAGAAAUUCUGGAGGACUGCGGAAGUGUGACAAACGCUUGCCUCCUGCUCAUGGGUGUCAUCUAUGCUGUCAACUUAAGUUACCCACUGAAACUGAA